rnacentral:rRNA from 1 species
UACGUAGGUGGCAAGCGUUGUCCGGAAUUAUUGGGCGUAAAGGGCUCGUAGGCGGCCAACUAAGUCGGAUGUGAAAUCCCCAGGCUUAACCUGGGAACUGCAUCCGAUACUGGAUGGCUUGAAUCCGGGAGAGGGAUGCAGAAUUCCAGGUGUAGCGGUGAAAUGCGUAGAUAUCUGGAGGAAUACCGGUGGCGAAGGCGGCAUCCUGGACCGGCAUUGACGCUGAUGAGCGAAAGCUAGGGGAGCAAACGGG